rnacentral:lncRNA from 1 species
UUUUUUUUUUUUUUUUUUUUCAACUUUAAAUAUUUUAUUUCAUUCCUGGUUGUGAACAAUGUCCCUUAGCGCUACAACAAUGACGCUAAGGUUCCUCCCUGUGUUGUUAAUUGCUAAUAAAACCAGGGGAUUUGAUUAGCAAAAUAUACUUUAUAUUUAUAUCUUUUGUUAGUUGCAUAUUACAAAGUAUUCAUACGAGCACACAAUACAUACAUAUUAUUCAAACAGUGAUCCUAUAUAUAAACAAUC